rnacentral:rRNA from 1 species
UAUUGGGCAAUGGGCGCAAGCCUGACCCAGCAACGCCGCGUGAAGGAAGAAGGCUUUCGGGUNGUAAACUUCUUUUGACAGGGAANNGANNNANACGGUACCUGUCGAAUAAGCCACGGCUAACUACGUGNNNGNANCCGCGGUAAUACGUAGGUGGCAAGCGUUGUCCGGAUUUACUGGGUGUAAAGGGCGUGUAGCCGGGUUGACAAGUCAGAUGUGAAAUCCUGCGGCUUAACCGCAGAACUGCAUUUGAAACUGUUGAUCUUGAGUACUGGAGAGGCAGACGGAAUUCCUAGUGUAGCGGUGAAAUGCGUAGAUAUUAGGAGGAACACCAGUGGCGAAGGCGGUCUGCUGGACAGCAACUGACGGUGAGGCGCGAAAGCGUGGGGAGCAAACAGG